UUACUUUACCUUCCAUUUAAGAUCUUACCUUAAAAAAUCAUGGCUCACAGUACUCCCUAGCAAAGUGUAAUUUUGCGUCUCUCUGGAGCAGCAAAGCCCUGGUGGUGAAAGUCUGAAGCAGAACACAGAAAUAUCCAUGGCAGUCUCUUCUUGUUGGCGCAGAUUAUCAUCCCCUUCUCGCUUUCGUUUCAUUCGUUACUUAUCUUCUUCUUCUACCUCUCCACACUUUGAUCCUCCUCCUCCAAUUACUCCCCGCAGAGUGGUCGUCACGGGUCUAGGCAUGGUGACUCCUCUGGGUUGCAGUGUGGAUGCGACAUGGCUGCGGUUGAUAGAGGGAAAAUGUGGGAUAAGAGCAAUAACACCUGAGGAUCUCAAAAUGAAUAAUUUCGAUAUGGAAACUCAGUUGCACACAUUCGACCAGCUGACCUCUAAAGUUGCCGCAAUUGUGCCCUGUGGAACCGGCCCCGGUGAAUUCAAUGAGGAAUUAUGGCUUAAUUCUAAGGAUCAUCGAUCGAUUUCAAGGUUUAUAGGCUAUGCACUAUGUGCUGCUGAUGAAGCUGUAAAAGAUGCAAAAUGGGUACCCACUGAACAGGAGCAGAAGGAAAGAACGGGUGUUUCUAUUGGUGGGGGAAUUGGAAGUAUCACUGAUAUACUGGAUGCUUCGCAAAUGAUUUGUGAGAAGAGACUUCGUCGGCUUAGUCCAUUUUUUAUCCCAAGGAUAUUGAUCAACAUGGCGUCUGGUCAUGUGAGUAUGAAGUAUGGAUUCCAGGGACCAAACCAUGCUGCUGUUACUGCUUGUGCUACUGGGGCACAUUCCAUUGGUGAUGCUACAAGGAUGAUUCAAUUUGGUGAUUCGGAUGUUAUGGUGGCUGGAGGCACAGAGUCCAGCAUAGAUGCUUUGUCAAUAGCAGGAUUUUGCAGGUCAAGGGCUCUGACUACAAAGUACAAUUCUAUGCCCCUAGAAGCUUCUCGGCCUUUUGAUUGUGAUCGAGAUGGAUUUGUGAUAGGUGAAGGUGCUGGUGUCCUUGUAUUAGAAGAACUUGAGCAUGCAAGAGAACGAGGAGCCAAAAUUUAUGCAGAGGUUCGGGGCUAUGGGAUGUCAGGUGAUGCAUAUCACAUUACUCAACCACAUACUGAUGGAAUAGGAGCUGUUUUGGCCAUGACACGUGCCUUAAAACAGUCUGGUCUUCAUCCCAAUCAAGUGGAUUAUAUAAAUGCCCAUGCUACAUCUACACCUUUGGGUGAUGCUGUGGAAGCCAGUGCGAUCAAAACCAUAUUCUCUGAACAUGCAACAUCAGGUGCCUUGACAUUGUCUUCCACAAAGGGUGCCAUUGGCCAUCUCCUUGGAGCAGCUGGUUCUGUUGAAGCAAUUUUCUCAGUUUUGGCCAUACACCAUGGCAUUGCACCAUUGACUCUUAACCUCACUAAACCAGAUCCCAUCUUCAAAGACAAGUUCAUGCCAUUAAAUGCUUCAAAAGAGAUGCCAGUGAGAGCAGCCUUGUCAAAUUCCUUUGGCUUUGGGGGAACAAAUGCAUCUCUGCUGUUCACCUCUGCUUCGUAGAAGACAUGAUUGGGCAUGUGCAAAUUCCCUUGAUCUGGACUACUGACAUUGUAGGAUAUCUUUCUUCAAACUAUUAAUUGAAUUGAAACAUCUACAGUUUCUAGCUAACCAGAACUGAAUGAAUAUCUACCAGUGGUCAGAUCUGAUAUCACGAGGCUUGUUUCUUGCCAACUUUGCCCCAGCAAUGUCACUGAACCUACACAAAGGCUUCUUCUGCCCUGUUUUACAUAGCAACAUGCAUAUACAAACGCAAGGUUGUUCUUUAUAUGAGCUACUGAUGGCCUAACACAUACCACUAUUGUUGAACAUCAUGCUUAUGUUUAUAGGAAUCAUUUUUUCUCUUUGCCUCCCUCAAGGAGUGUAAUCAGUGGUACUGACAAUUUCAUAACUGUGCAAAAGGAGGUUGUCUAAUAGAAUGCAAAUUGGAGUUUUACCAUCUAAAUCAACUAUAAUGAAUUUCA